CGCCACGGCCUCAGAGCUGGUGGAGAGGCAGAGCGCAGGCAGUGGAUAAAUUCGUAGACGUGGAAUUUCUGGAUCAAAUGGAGGAGAUUGGACGAUUGAGAGAGCUCUUGGAAGUGGGGAAGAGGGGAAGAGGGCUUCAUUCCCAGUGUGUAUUUGUCACCUAGUGACCAUAGUGAAUGGUGAUAUUUGUGCUUCUCAGCUCAGCCUGGUGGCCUAACCUUAACUCCCGAGUUCCAUGGUCCUGUCACAACUGCAAGUCAUUCUCAUACAAACGUUGAGUUGACCUAGUGUGCACCUUUGAGAGUUUUGGAACAAUAUUCAAGUUUAAGUCACCAUCAUGUCAUCUUGCUGACGAUCUCAUGGGACAAGACCAACACUGGAGUUGCUUGCUUCUGCCCUUGGUCUUCCACCUGUUCUUCCCUCUGCUGCCAUUGAUCGCACACACGUGUUGUCAUACAAAAGCUGUUUUGCUUUUCUUUUUUCUCUUGUGAAUGUUGUCCUUGGCUUCGUAUACAUCACAGAUUAGUGUCGUAUGCUGCACAGUGAUCUAAAAACUUUCAAUACUUGUAAAUUUGCAUAAGUUUGGGUAAGAAUGGCAUCCAAGCAGCAAAGCAAGAAUACAGACGAUAGAAAUGCAAGAAGAGCAACAAGGGCAAGAAAAGGGAUGUCUAUAGCAAACAAAAUGAAAGUUCUUGAAAUGCUUGAUAAUGGUGAAACUGAGACCUCUGUAGGGUGUUUUUGGGGUGUUAAUAGAUCUAUAAUUUGCACAGUAAAGAAAAAUGAGAAAGCUGUUGGGGCCAGUGUAUUGAGGGGCACACCAGAAUCAUUGAGAAAAUCAUACAUAGCUUGAAAUGUCAAAGGAGAGACAAUGGAAAAAUUGGACAUGGGUGGCUUCUAACGCAGAGAAAGCUGAAUAGGCCUCCUCCUGUAUGCAUCAUCUGCCAGUGAGCAUCCCACAAAUGCAAGUUUCAGUUUCGAUCUGGACCAAACGUUGUAACAUUCAUCGCCAGUAAUGGGUGGUUGGAUAGCUUUGAGAAACGCUGUGGUCUGUGUGACAAGAAAUGGCUGGCAGAGGAAGCAGGUCAUGAAGCUGCCGCCAAGUAUCCUGAAUACCUGAAGAAGCUGAGGAAAAUGGCUGUGUCUUCAGCGCCGAUGAGCCGGCCCCGUGCCAGAAGCGCGUGCCUACUUGCACAUCUAUUGCAAAGGAUGAGAAAAAGACCAGAGGCUUCCAGCCCGGAGAAGACAAGCUCAAAAUUCUGUUUCGUUCCAGUGCUUCUGGCGACUUUUCGGGUUAAAUCCAUGUUGCUUCACAGAUUCCGAAAUCCUUGCCCUCUUCAAAAAGAAUGCUAAAGACACUUUUCUGUUUACAUGGAGGGAAACCAUAAAAUAUGGGCCACUGAGAAACUCUUUUUCGGACUGGUUUUUGAAGUGUUUUGUUCCUGAGGUUAAACUAUAUUUAAACUGAAAAAAUCAUGAAUUCAAAGUGUCGCUGAUUCCAGACAUGGCUCCCACUGACAAAAGUGCAAUAGUAAACGCUGAUCCUCAUGUUCCAGUCAUCUCCAUUCCCCCAGGUACAACUCCACUCCUUCAUCCCGUGCAUCUGGGAGUGCUAAAAAUUGUUCACGAUGUCCUGGACUUGGCGUACAUUUGAUUUCCUCGCAGAUCAGAUGAGAGAGACCCCGGAACUUACUGUGAAAGUAGCUUGGCAAAAUUUCUCCAUUUGUAAUGCUUUAACGAUAGUAGAAGAAUUGGUGAGAGAAAUAACACAGUCACCCCCUAAUGGAGCCGGGCAGCAACUUCAGAACGAGGUUGUAACGGACUGUGAAAGUUUUCUUCCAGUGGUAGAAGAAACUGAAAGUGUUGUACCAUCUGCAAAGCAUUUGGGGGGGGGGGCUGUAGGAUUUGAAGACAUUGAAUGAAGUGACAUUUUGCUGAACUGUUAGAUUCUCACCCUCAGAAGACAGUUGAGACAUUUUUCCGAAAUAUGAUCAUAUCAAAAAUUGAUAGAAGAGGUCAGCUUAGGGUAACAUCCAGAACUCGAAGAAUGUUGAAGCAGCCCCUCUGCACAUCAAAUGGCUGUAGUGAUUCAGAGGAAGGCGAGCCUUCGACGGAGUAUUUAUUGACC